AUGUCGUCCCCCUCCUCCAACAACGCGAACGACGAUGCUUGGUUGAUGCUGAUGGAACUCCGGAGGGAGGAUGCCGAGGGAGCCAUGAUGGAGGAGGAUGAAGGGGAUUCGCUUGAGGAACAACCUCCGGCAACGGAGAGGGGUACUCUGGCGGGCAUCUCCGCUAUUCCAUGUCCCCAUCAAGCCAUAGGAACCACAAACAACCAUGAAGACCAAGAGGUUCGAGAAGGGCUUCCCUCUAGGAGGCCCUUACACAGGUUACAUCGGAACAACUUUCAUAAUUUGGUUCAUGAUAACCCACAAGUAUAG
rnacentral:rRNA from 1 species